rnacentral:rRNA from 1 species
UGGGGAAUAUUGCACAAUGGGGGAAACCCUGAUGCAGCGACGCCGCGUGAGUGAAGAAGUAUUUCGGUAUGUAAAGCUCUAUCAGCAGGGAAGAUAAUGACGGUACCUGACUAAGAAGCCCCGGCUAACUACGUGCCAGCAGCCGCGGUAAUACGUAGGGGGCAAGCGUUAUCCGGAUUUACUGGGUGUAAAGGGAGCGUAGGUGGCAAGGCAAGUCAGAUGUGAAAGCCCGGGGCUCAACCCCGGUACUGCAUUUGAAACUGUCUAGCUGGAGUGCAGGAGAGGUAAGUGGAAAUUCCUAGUGUAGCGGUGAAAUGCGUAGAUAUUAGGAGGAACACCAGUGGCGAAGGCGGCUUACUGGAACUGUAACUGACACUGGAGGACUCGAAGGCGAUGGGAGCAAAGCAGGAUUAGCAUACC